GAAGAAGACUACUCUGCUGAUCA
rnacentral:siRNA from 1 species